rnacentral:rRNA from 1 species
CAGAGGGUGCAAGCGUUAAUCGGAUUUACUGGGCGUAAAGCGUGCGUAGGAGGUCGCGUAAGUCGGUUGUGAAAUCCCUGGGCUCAACCUGGGAAUUGCUUCCGAUACUGCGUGACUGGAGUUCGGUAGAGCGUGGCGGAACUCCCGGUGUAGCGGUGAAAUGCGUAGAUAUCGGGAAGAACACCGAUGGCGAAGGCAACCACCUGGGCCUGAACUGACUCUGAGGCACGAAAGCGUGGGGAGCAAACAGGAUUAGAUACCCUGGUAGUCCACGCUGUAAACGAUGGAAACUUGACGUCGGUUUGCUCUGCGAAUCGGUGUCGAAGCUAACGCGCUAAGUUUCCCGCCUGGGGAGUACGGCCGCAAGGUUG